GAGGGUAUAGCUCAGUGGUAGAGCACAUGCCUUAGCAUGCAUGAGGUCCUUGGUUCAAUCCCCACUACCUCCA
rfam:Camelus ferus unplaced genomic scaffold scaffold33, whole genome shotgun sequence.